CGGGGUGUGGCUCAGUUGGUAGAGUGCUGCGUUCGGGACGCAGAGGUCGUGGGUUCGAAUCCCGCCACCCCGACCA
rnacentral:tRNA from 2 species